rnacentral:rRNA from 1 species
AGUGAACGCUGGCGGUAGGCCUAACACAUGCAAGUCGAACGGCAGCACAGUAAGAGCUUGCUCUUACGGGUGGCGAGUGGCGGACGGGUGAGGAAUACAUCGGAAUCUACUUUUUCGUGGGGGAUAACGUAGGGAAACUUACGCUAAUACAGCAUACGACCUACGGGUGAAAGCAGGGGAUCUUCGGACCUUGCGCGAUUGAAUGAGCCGAUGUCGGAUUAGCUAGUUGGCGGGGUAAAGGCCCACCAAGGCGACGCUCCGUAGCUGGUCUGAGAGGAUGAUCAGCCACACUGGAACUGAGACACGGUCCAGACUCCUACGGGAGGCAGCAGUGGGGAAUAUUGGACAAUGGGCGCAAGCCUGAUCCAGCCAUACCGCGUGGGUGAAGAAGGCCUUCGGGUUGUAAAGCCCUUUUGUUGGGAAAGAAAAGCAGCAGGUUAAUACCCCGCUGUUCUGACGGUACCCAAAGAAGAAGCACCGGCUAACUUCGUG